rnacentral:rRNA from 1 species
UACGGGGGGGGCAAGCGUUGUUCGGAAUUACUGGGCGUAAAGGGCGCGUAGGCGGCCUGCUAAGUCGGAUGUGAAAUCCCUCGGCUCAACCGAGGAACUGCAUCCGAUACUGGCGGGCUUGAAUCCGGGAGAGGGAUGUGGAAUUCCAGGUGUAGCGGUGAAAUGCGUAGAUAUCUGGAGGAACACCGGUGGCGAAGGCGGCAUCCUGGACCGGUAUUGACGCUGAGGCGCGAAAGCUAGGGGAGCAAAGCGGGG